CGUGGGUAACUACCCAUCAGAGGGGGAUAACACUUGGAAACAGGUGCUAAUACCGCAUAACAGUUUAUGCCGCACGGCAUAAGAGUGAAAGGCGCUUUCGGGUGUCGCUGAUGGAUGGACCCGCGGUGCAUUAGCUAGUUGGUGAGGUAACGGCUCACCAAGGCCACGAUGCAUAGCCGACCUGAGAGGGUGAUCGGCCACACUGGGACUGAGACACGGCCCAG
rnacentral:rRNA from 1 species